UCGGUCAUCUGGAUCAGACCAUAAAAGAUCACACAUUGCCCCUUCAUGAGGAACCUCCUGAACACGAUCAAAGUUUCGUAUGCUGUCGAGGGUUUCUAUUGAUGGGGACAAUCCACCAUGUAGGCAAAAUAUUUCCGACUCAACCUACCAAGGAGAAAAUAGGACUUUCAGAUGUAUAUUUUUUUAUUCAUGCUACCUUUGACCUAGCUUUCUUAAACAACAAAUAAAGCAGAAAAUUUCAUCCAAGUGAUCCUACAAAUAUUAUGAGAGGUUUUCUGUCACUGCUUUGUUCGGAUUGAGGGAAAUGGAGAGAAAAGAAAAGAUAUUUGAUUUCUCUCCAUUCCCUUGUUUGGACAUCAAGUAAAAGAAAGAAAGAGGAAUAAAAAGAAAUGAGAAGAAAUGAAAUUUCUCCUCUCCUUUGUGAUUAACUCACACCAUUUCUCUCCAAAUUGAUGGGAAAUGGAGAGAAAUGGAGAGAUUUAUAUUAAAUAUACUAAAAUGUCCUUCUACAACAUAAUAGACAUAAGAAAGAAAAUGAUAUAAUAGUUAUUUCCUCUCUCUUUUUUUUAAAGGGAGAAAUUGCAUUUCUCUCCAAUUCUAAUAAUCUAUUUAAACAAUAGAAAGUAAAUUAAAUUUCUGUUCUUUUCUCUUCAUUUC
rnacentral:misc_RNA from 1 species